AGAGUUUGAUCCUGGCUCAGGAUGAACGCUGGCGGCGUGCCUAACACAUGCAAGUCGAGCGAAGCGCUUAGAUUGGAUUCUUCGGAUGAAGAUCUUUGUGACUGAGCGGCGGACGGGUGAGUAACGCGUGGGCAACCUGCCUUACACAGGGGGAUAACAGUUAGAAAUGACUGCUAAUACCGCAUAAGACCGCAGUGCCGCAUGGUACAGCGGUAAAAACUCCGGUGGUGUAAGAUGGGCCCGCGUCUGAUUAGGUAGUUGGCGGGGUAACGGCCCACCAAGCCGACGAUCAGUAGCCGACCUGAGAGGGUGACCGGCCACAUUGGGACUGAGACACGGCCCAGACUCCUACGGGAGGCAGCAGUGGGGAAUAUUGCACAAUGGGGGAAACCCUGAUGCAGCGACGCCGCGUGAGCGAUGAAGUAUUUCGGUAUGUAAAGCUCUAUCAGCAGGGAAGAAAAUGACGGUACCUGACUAAGAAGCCCCGGCUAACUACGUGCCAGCAGCCGCGGUAAUACGUAGGGGGCAAGCGUUAUCCGGAAUGAUUGGGCGUAAAGGGUGCGCAGGCGGUCCUGCAAGUCUGGAGUGAAACGCAUGAGCUCAACUCAUGCAUGGCUUUGGAAACUGGAGGACUGGAGAGCAGGAGAGGGCGGUGGAACUCCAUGUGUAGCGGUAAAAUGCGUAGAUAUAUGGAAGAACACCAGUGGCGAAGGCGGCCGCCUGGCCUGUUGCUGACGCUGAGGCACGAAAGCGUGGGGAGCAAAUAGGAUUAGAUACCCUAGUAGUCCACGCCGUAAACGAUGAGGACCAAGUGUUGGGGGGUGAAACCUCAGUGCUGAAGUUAAACGCAAGGGGUCCUCCGCCUGGGGAGUAUGCACGCAAAGUGUGAAACUACAAAGGAAUUGACGGGGGCCCGCACAAGCGGUGGAGUAUGUGGUUUAAUUAGAAGCAACGCGAAGAACCUUACCAGGCCUUGACAUGGGAUGCGAAGAUGCAGAGAUGCAUCGGAGGUCAACAUCCACACAGGUGGUGCAUGGUUGUCGUCAGCUCGUGUCGUGAGAUGUUGGGUCAAGUCCCGCAACGAGCGCAACCCUUGUGGCAUGUUGCUAACAGGAAAAGCUGAGGACUCAUGCCAGACUGCCGGUGACAAACCGGAGGAAGGCGGGGAUGACGUCAAAUCAUCAUGCCCCUUAUGGCCUGGGCUACACACGUACUACAAUGGCGGCUACAAAGAGCAGCGAGACAGGGAUGUCGAGCGAAUCUCACAAAAGCCGUCCCAGUUCGGAUUGGAGCCUGCAACCCGGCUCCAUGAAGUUGGAAUCGCUAGUAAUCGCGGAUCAGAACGCCGCGGUGAAUACGUUCCCGGGUCUUGCACACACCGCCCGUCA
rnacentral:rRNA from 1 species